rnacentral:rRNA from 1 species
AUUGAACGCUGGCGGCAGGCUUAACACAUGCAAGUCGAGCGGGGGAAGGUAGCUUGCUACCGGACCUAGCGGCGGACGGGUGAGUAAUGCUUAGGAAUCUGACUAUUAGUGGGGGACAACAUCUCGAAAGGGACGCUAAUACCGCAUACGUCCUACGGGAGAAAGCGGGGGAUCUUCGGACCUUGCGCUAAUAGAUGAGCCUAAGUCGGAUUAGCUAGUUGGUGGGGUAAAGGCCUACCAAGGCGACGAUCUGUAGCGGGUCUGAGAGGAGGAUCCGCCACACUGGGACUGAGACACGGCCCAGACUCCUACGGGAGGCAGCAGUGGGGAAUAUUGGACAAUGGGGGGAACCCUGAUCCAGCCAUGCCGCGUGUGUGAAGAAGGCCUUAUGGUUGUAAAGCACUUUAAGCGAGGAGGAGGCUACUCUAGUUAAUACCUAGGGAUAGUGGACGUUACUCGCAGAAUAAGCACCGGCUAACUCUGUGCCAGCCGCCGCGGUAA